GUAGGUGAACCUGCGGAAGGAUCAUUAACGAGUUAGGGUCUUCUAGGCCCGACCUCCCAACCCUAUGUUUAUUGAACUUUUGUUGCUUCGGCGGGCCCGCCUUAUGGCCGCUGGAGGAUCGUCGCGAGGCGUCCUCUGGCCAGUGCCCGCCGAUGGCCACCCUGAAAACUCUUGAAUCAAUCGUGUCCAUGAUGUCUAAGUAAAUGAUUUAAAUUAAAGCAAAACUUUCAACAACGGAUCUCUUGGUUCU
rnacentral:misc_RNA from 1 species